AGCGAACGCUGGCGGCAGGCCUAACACAUGCAAGUCGAACGAAGUCUUCGGACUUAGUGGCGGACGGGUGAGUAACACGUGGGAACGUACCUUUUGGUUCGGAACAACUCAGGGAAACUUGAGCUAAUACCGAAUGUGCCCUUAGGGGGAAAGAUUUAUCGCCAUUAGAGCGGCCCGCGUUAGAUUAGCUAGUUGGUGAGGUAAAGGCUCACCAAGGCUACGAUCUAUAGCUGGUCUGAGAGGAUGAUCAGCCACACUGGGACUGAGACACGACCCAGACUCCUACGGGAGGCAGCAGUGGGGAAUCUUGCGCAAUGGGCGAAAGCCUGACGCAGCCAUGCCGCGUGAAUGAUGAAGGUCUUAGGAUUGUAAAAUUCUUUUAGCAGGGACGAUAAUGACGGUACCUGCAGAAAAAGCCCCGGCUAACUUCGUGCCAGCCGCCGCCGUAA
rnacentral:rRNA from 1 species